UACGUAGGGUGCAAGCGUUAAUCGGAAUUACUGGGCGUAAAGCGUGCGCAGGCGGUUUUGUAAGACUGUCGUGAAAUCCCCGGGCUCAACCUGGGAAUUGCGAUGGAGACUGCAAGGCUAGAAUCUGGCAGAGGGGGGGUAGAAUUCCACGUGUAGCAGUGAAAUGCGUAGAGAUGUGGAGGAACACCGGUGGCGAAGGCGGUUCUCUGGGGCAUGUCCUGACGCUGAGGAGCGAAAAGUGUGGGGGAGCGAACAGG
rnacentral:rRNA from 1 species